CCUCUCCAAAGGCCCCCGGGGCCUCACCCCUUCCAGCCUCUCUGAUCUGACUUUAUAGCUCUGGUCUCCGGAGUCAGAACAAAGAACAUCAUUUAUUUUGCUUCCAGCAGAGGGGUCUUUAAGUUGCUGCACCAAGCAGUUGGCAUCCGACAAAGCAGCGAGUGAACACCGCACCAGGACCGCCCGCCUCCUCGGCAUCCCACCCGGCCUCCCACACUUCUUCUCUUCGUUUGUCUACCCCUCCCCUCGACCACACUCCACCCCUCCUGUUCAUCUUCUUUACUUUGAUUUUGCUAUCUACGGAACUUCAGUGGCUGCAUCUGAAUAAAUUUGCACAGCACGCAGUGUGUUCACUUA